CGAGCGAGAGGGGCCGGGGAAAGGAGGGAGCGAGGGAGCGCCCGGGACUCGCGACGGCGGCAGGUUCAAUUAGCUAAACAAAGAAAUCAUGGCGGAUUGUUUACAUUUGGCAGCGCCCGGGCCGAGCAACCGCCGGCCCCCAGCCGCCGCCGCGGCCCCCGAGGAGUCGGCGAGCUGCCCCCGCGCCCCGGCCGGAGAUUUGGAACUAUCGCUUUGCUGAAAACAUCUGGCUGCCGGUCUAGAAUCUGACUCAAGAUUCUCUAUCUACUGUGGUGAUGCUAUUAUUUGGAACUUACCGAUUUGGGCUCCUUCCAGACCUGAAAACUGAUUACAAAUAUGAAACAGAUUUCACUACUGGACUGAAGCUCCACAUAAAAAAGAAGAAGAUCUUCAAAAUAAUUGAAAAGGGUCCUCACCAAAGAAUAGAUGCAAUGUGACUGGCAGGAUAUGAAGGAGAGCUACCACUGCCAAAGGCUACUGACUAGUUGCAGUGCUCACAAGUGAAGAAUAUGGCGUCUAAAGGUGACCCUCCCCAUAAAGCUGGGACCCUAAAGAGCCACACUCUCAAUUAUCCCACACGGAGCUGUUGGAAUUACCUUAUGAUGAUUUCAAAGAACAUUUUCUUCUCUACACACUCUUAUCCCAAGAGCACCUCCCUGAUGGAGUCAGAAGAAGUAAGUUUGGAGUCGCACAGAACCGGACUUCAGUUCAAUGCUUUGUUCAUGACUGUGUCACCUUGCAUAGGUCACUCAACCUUUCAGAGCCUCAGUCUGCCAGUAAACAGAGGGAAGAACAUACCAAGGAAGUCACAAUGAGAAAAGGAAGCAGCCAGGCCUGAGGUUCCCUGAGGUAGUGAGCACUAAACAUGUGGCAAGCAUUAAACACAUUUAAAGGGAGAUGUGUCUUCGAGAUACCUAGGAGACCAGAAGCUGAUUUCCAUUGGAAGAUGCUGGGUUGUGAUCCAGAGCAGAAAACACAAUAAAAAGAAGAGCCCGAGGAUUUGAGAGAAGGUUUGGAACGUGGCGAUGGAGGAAUAACAUUCCUAGGAGAAGUGAAGAUACUUUCUCCUCCCUGGUCCACCUGAGCAUGCAGCAUCCAGUGAAAGUGAUGAGAGGAUAUGGUGUUUGUGAAGUGUACACAUGCAGUGACACCCUCACCUUCCUAACAUCUACAGAUGCCAUCGCAGACAUUUUUCAAGCCCUCUUUUUGCCAUACACACAGCUUGGAAUACUUUGGUAGUGACACGUGCUAAUUCAGGCAGACUACCAGCUCACUGCCUUGCUGCCCUCCACGGCUCUUCCUCCCGUCCCCACGAUUGACCUUUGGGUGGAAAGCUGCUUCUUUCCUUUCCUUGUAGGGGUUUCCCUACACUGAAAAGACAGGACCAUCUGAGGGAAAGGUAGUCACUGCCCACCCCUUGAAUUUUCAAAUUUACAUUGACAUUACUAAGAGCCAGUGGGCUUAAUCUAUAUUGGAGCUUCAAGAAUUAAAGCUGAUUUUUAUUGCCAAACAAUCCGUGGAGUUUGUGGCAGCUCUGAGACGACAGCUGGCCCAGGCAGGCCUGUUAACUCUGGCAUGUUAAGCACCCUUCAGAAGAUUUCAAAUCCAGCCUCAGCACCCAGGUUAGUAGAUCAAAUCCAGGGAGACCUCAGGGAGGCAGUGGGGGCGGAAAGAAAGGGGAACAUGGGGAGUAAGGAAGACAAGAAAAGUCAAAGUACAGGAAUGCCUGUAAACCAAACAUCAAUAGCUGUUUUUGUUUCCCUGAACCAGUGUUUCCCCUGGGAACCUCAAGUGUAAAAGACCCAGUCUGGAAAGGAGUACACCCAUGAUCAAAGUGGCCACAAAUGAUGGUCCCAGGCUGAUGUUUGUACUAUGAUUGCAGGAACCUUUCUUCCCAGGAUGAGGUACAGCCUCCAUCCUGAAGGACCAGCCCUGAGCAUCUUCCUGAAGCAUGUCUUAGGCCUAUUCCCUAAGGAUGGCCCAUCGCUGAGCUGGGCUUUGCCUGUCUCCCUCUGGGGCCCAGACGUGAUCAUGCCCUGACCAACGGCCUGCUGUUUGUUUGCUGCUCUUGUGAGAUGUUUAUAAUGUUGAAUCUUGGCAGGCACUCUCUUCCUUUUGUCUCAUCUGUCCUCUUCCAUGAAGGCAGAAGCACUUCAAGGGCAGAGACUGUGCUUAUAAGCGGAGCAACAGAGGCAGGGCAGGCUUCACUGUGGUAAAACGUGAUAACGAAAAUGCCCACGUGGGGGAAGAAAUGUUGAAUUCUCAGAAGUGACAAAGCUCUCAAAAAUGUGGAAACUGAGUUUCAACAAUUUGGAAUGAUCUGCCCAGUGCCACCAAUAACUAAUAGAACAGGAAUGGAACUCAAGUUUUCAGCUUCUCAUGGUACUCCUUUAGGGACUGAAAUUUUGAAUAUUGAAUCUUAAGCUGAGAUGUUUCAAAAAGAGAAUGGAAUAUUUUCUACCAAAUUAUUCGGCCGGUGUAAGAUACCGGAGAACACCAUGAUUUAUGUAGGCUCUGAAUCCACAAGGUUAGUUGACAAGCAUGGGCCAAUACUGUCUAUCAAACAAAACUGUAGUGCCAGAUAAUAUCUUGGCUAUAAGUAGAAGAAGAGCAACUCAGAGUCUGUUUAUGUAUUAAUCAAGGCAUCAGACUCAGGCCACUCCUGCAGCUACUCAACUCUGCAGCCAUUGUAGCAAGGAAAGCAGCCACAUACAAUACGUAAGCAAGUGGACUAGGCUAGAUUUAGCCCGUGGGCCCUAGUUUGGUGACUUCUGAUCUGGUUCAAUGCUUGCUGUUUUUCAAAUCUUCUGACAAAAGACCAUUUGGCUGAAGUCUUCGGAAUGGCGAGAGCAGUCCUUAAUGAAUAGUGUUAUUGGUGUUUUUGAUCACACAUACUAUAUAUGGAUCAAGAAAAAAUAAAUGACAAUAUAACUCAGAAUUCACUGCCUAUAUUUGUAAUGUUCAAGUUGAAUUAUAGGAAUAUGGAUUGCGUGGUGAGUAAAUACUGCAAUGAUCCUACCAAAAAUAAUGUUCAAACAAAAAAAAAAAUUGAAUUUCAGUGACUCAGGGAGACUAAUUUAAAGUCAAAAUAUCAAGAGACCACUCAAUUCUCCUGAGAGUUCUCCAUCCACUUCCAGAUGACAGCACCAAGACAAAGACAAGCUGAGUUGGUUGAUCCACGCCAAGUUUCCUCACACGUGAAGACUUGAGUCACGUGAGGUGCCUGGUCAGAAUCUAAGCUGAGCCUGCUGCCAUCUUUGUUGGCCAUGAAGAAGUGUAAACCCCGGACUGUAUCCAGCUUCGGAAGCAAUUCAACUACUGGCAAGAGUUUUUCGGAAAGCAGUUGUGGCCCUCAGAGUCAGUUGUAAACAAACAUCUGGAACUUCCACCUGCUUCCAAAUACCAUUACAAGACUUCGUCACAUUUGAAAAGACAGUGAUGAUGAUAAUAAUGACCCAGCAGGAAACUGGCCGUGACCCUUUGGGUGAGUGAAGAUUGGGUGACAGUUCCUUUGCUUCUUCUCCUCCACUGGCUCCCUUCUGCCCAGGUGUGAUUUUUCUCUCUGUAGUGGUUUUUGAGUAUUUGAAUGGUAGGUCACACAACUUCAAGGCUGUUAUUUUCAAGUUUUAAUAAUGUUUGGCAACUCACUUCCUGUUUCUCAGCUGACAACCUUGCCAAAAGCAUUCCUUGUCAGGUACUAAUUUGGCUGACAUGACGACCACUUGAUCUAAAUUUUUGGUGUGUAAUUAUGACUCAGAAGUGAGUAAUUUUUUGAUAUCCAGUGGCAGUCAGAAAGGUGGGUAUUUUACUACCCACUCAUUAGAGAUUCUCCAGUAGUGAAAUGUCCUGAAUUUUGAUCUGUUUGCAGACAGAAGAAAAAUCUGACUGCUCAAAUGAAAAGCAACUUCCUGCUUAUUUUGGCAGCACUUACAGGGUGUAUUGAAGUUUUUUAUUAUAAACUCGCUCCAGUGUUUCAUCGUACCUGCAAUAUUAAUUUUGUAU